CCAGACUAUACAGUAUUUGAAUAUGGCAUACUCAUGAAUUCUGGGACUGUUAUUCCUUAACCCAGUUUGGAGGAUAAGAGCUUACCAACUAGUUAUAAAUAUGCUGAGGUGAUGUAUUGCAAAAUAGCCAACAUACAACAAUAUGGAUGACCCUCUGUCUGGUCAACAGGAGUUUAAAUAUGGACGGGACAAUGAUGUGGCAGCUCUUCUCUGGCUCAUUCACCUCUUGCCUUUCAUUUGUGAAAGGAAGAAAGAAGAAAGAGGGUCAAUGUGCAACUGAAGCUACUGAUUGUGCUGUGUGAUGAGCAUCAAUCCAUGCUUUGAGGUGGAUGGAUCAGCACAGCCCUGCCUGCACUGCGUUGGGAACAGAAGUUGCAUCCAGAAUCUUUGCAUCAUUCUGGACCAAAAAGCCAUUCCCUCCAUGAUGAAGACCACUGAUGCAGCCUUCCACUACAUCAUGAGUAAAACAACUACAGAACUAAAUACCAGGUUGGAACGUAUUUAAGAAAAAUGAAACGUCUUUUGAAUUGAAAUGUCUGUUUUCUUAUGGAAAAAUCUUUAGUAUUGUGAAGGAUAAGCAUUUCUGCCUGCCAGUAAGGUAAUUGCAGUGUAUUUUAAUGUUCAAGUUUUGAGUAGGGUGGCUAAUUUUUUUUAAACUCUCAUUUGAUAUAUUAAAGACCUUAUAAUAAGUGGUUUUCAUGUCACUGCGCUGUGGUAUAAGAUAACUUUCAUUAUUCCAUACUGUAUUAUGUUUUUUAAUUGUAGCUGAGGUAUUUAAAUAAGCAGUAUUAAAUGCAAAGUGUUGUGUGUAUCAAUGUAAAUAUUAAAUGUGAUGUACUUUAAUAAAAAGAGGUUUUGCAAUA